rnacentral:rRNA from 1 species
UACAGAGGUAGCUAGCGUUGUUCGGAAUGACUGGGUGUAAAGCGCGUGCAGGCGGUCUCGUAAGUUGAACGUGAAAUCCACAGGCUCAACCUGUGAACGGCGUUCAAAACUGCGUUACUUGAGUGCGGAAGAGGAAAGUGGAAUUUCUGGUGUAGCGGUGAAAUGCGUAGAUAUCAGAAGGAACACCGGUGGCGAAGGCGACUUUCUGGUCCGCAACUGACGCUGAGACGCGAAAGCUAGGGGAG